rnacentral:SRP_RNA from 1 species
GCUGGGCGUGGUGGGGGUCGCCUGUAAUCCCAGCUACUCGGGAGGCUGAGGUAGGAGAAUUGCUUGAACCCAGGAGAUGGAGGUUGCAGUGAGCUGAGAUCGUGCCACUGCACUCCACCCUGGGUGACAGAGCGAGACUCUGUCUCAA